rnacentral:misc_RNA from 1 species
GAAAUUGCAAGAUAGCAUAACCAAAGUAAAAUGGGCAGAUUACAUGAACUAUUCAGCGUAAAUCAGCCCUACCAAUAUUGUUAAAAACAAUACCGCUACGACCCUUAGAACACAGGAAGCUAAAACCAUCCAAACCUCCACAACAAUGUCGUCGACUACCCAAAAUAGGAUUGAUGCAGAAGCUGAGGAAAAAGAAUAGUGGCACCAAAGACAACGAAACACCUCCUUGCUGUCUACCACCAUCUUUGAGCAUAUCUUUCAAUCCUCCAUCGAACCACACACACCAAGCUCAACAGCAAAGUAAAAGCUAGCAACGAAAGUAGGCGUUGAAAACCAAGAUUCAAGGCAUUGCAGUCUCAGAUAGCCUUGGGUCAAUCUUAAGGCACUCUUGUCAACGAACUCCUUGACAUUCCUACUCUUCCCUUGAGAGCCUAUGCUCUUCGCAAGCUUACGUCCAAUUCUCAAGUUUAACAGUAACUCCUUGUCUGCCCAACCUGUAAAACCAACACUCAAAAUAUAUGUACACCCAACUCAGGUGAGGGAAAACAACCCCAAGUUGAAAUUUGAAUUUGAAAUUUCAUAAUUUUAGAUAAACUUCAAUAUUGAUAAAUUUUUUUCUCGGUUGAUAAAAAAACCCAAAGAGAAAAUGAAU